rnacentral:rRNA from 1 species
AAUCAACGCUGGCGGCGUGCCUAACACAUGCAAGUCGAACGAGAAAGCUUGGGUGUAGCAAUACAUCCGGGUGAGUAAAGUGGCGUACGGGUGAGUAACACGUAGCUAACCUACCCUCAAGCGGGGGAUAACCUGGGGAAACCCGGGCUAAUACCGCAUAACACCCCGAAGACCUAGGUCAUUGGGGUUAAAGGUCCGCAAGGGCCACUGGAGGAGGGGGCUGCGGCCGAUUAGCUAGUUGGUGAGGUAACGGCCCACCAAGGCAAUGAU